rnacentral:misc_RNA from 1 species
GAUGAAGAACGCAGCGAAAUGCGAUAAGUAAUGUGAAUUGCAGAAUUCAGUGAAUCAUCGAAUCUUUGAACGCACAUUGCGCCCGCCAGAAUUCUGGCGGGCAUGCCUGUUCGAGCGUCAUUUCAACCCUCGAGCUCCCCUUGGGGAGCCCGGCGUUGGGGACCGGCAGUAACACCGCCGGCCCCGAAAUGGAGUGGCGGCCCCGCCCGCGGCGACCUCUGCGUAGUAAAUCCACUCGCACCGGGACCCGGGCACGGCCACGCCGUAAAACACCCAACUUCCGAAUGUUGACCUCGAAUCAGGUAGGAAUACCCGCUGAACUUAAGCAUAUCAAUAAGCGGAGGA